rnacentral:rRNA from 1 species
UACGGAGGGUGCUAGCGUUGUCCGGAAUCACUGGGCGUAAAGGGCGCGUAGGUGGUUUGAUAAGGGUGUGGUGAAAGCCCGGGGCUCAACCCCGGGUCUGCCGUGCCGACUGUCAAACUCGAGGGCUGUAGAGGCAGACGGAAUUCCGGGUGUAGCGGUGGAAUGCGUAGAGAUCCGGAGGAAGACCGGUGGCGAAGGCGGUCUGCUGGGCAGUUUCUGACACUGAGGCGCGACAGCGUGGGGAGCAAACAGGG